rnacentral:misc_RNA from 1 species
AGUCAACAUUUUUUUUUUGGGAUGACCAUGAAAUUAAUGAUUUAAUUUGAUUUACACUUUGUUUCAAUAUACAAGGGCAUUUAUAGAAAUGAUAAGAUAUAAAGAAAAUAACUCGUAAAGCAAAUCCCUCCAAUGACAUUGAAAAACGCCCAAUGUCCCGAUUUAAUAUAAAUCCAAGGAAGUCAUUUACCCAAUAAAUCAUCCACUGCAUUAAACUUAACGUCCAUGCCUCCAUGGAUCACUCACACAAACUAAUAACCCAGAGAACUAGGUCUAAAUAUUUAGAUGACAUUACCACUUUAAGCUAUACAGCAACUAGCUAAAUAUCCCCUCCAGAACAUCCAUAUGAGCAGGGAUUAAGAACAGAAAGUGAUAAGACCCUACAAUUAGAUGUUGACAGAUGAAUUAAGGAAAUUUUGAAUGGCAGAGCAAUACCAUGGUUCAAAGUCACUUUGAUCUGACACAGAAAUUAAGAGAAACCAUCCUUUACUGAACAAAAAUAGUUUUGGCUCAACAUGAAGUCUAUCUGUAUCACAAUGCAUAUUACUAUGCAGAAUCGCCGAAGUUUUACACGACAACAGCUAAGAAUAUGAAAGCAAAUAAUAUCUGCAAUUCAAUAGCAGAAGCCGCUGGCCAGCAAGGUUCCUACACAAACCAACUAAACCAAUGCACAAAAGGAGGAAGAGGAGAAGAAUUGCAAUGAGAACUAAAUUCCUUGCUAAGCUGAGAGAAAAGGAUGUAAAUAUCAAUAACAACAAAGAAGAAUAGCUAUCAGAAACUAGGCUUGCAUGACACAAUGAUAACCUAGCCCCUCUCUAACUAAAACAAAGGACAUGAAAUGGCAUCCCUGUGAAAAAAUAUAACUAAAUAAAACCAAACUGAACCAGAUUUCAACAUGAAACUUGCCAAACACUCAUUAGAGUUGGCAAAGUUAUAAAUUAUUCAAAACUUCAAUGUGUUCAGCAAGUUUGAUGUCCUACUGCAUUAUUCAGAGCUCACACUAGGAGAUAAAUGUUCUCAGAACUUCAAAUGCAGAAUAUCAAUAUAUUAUUCAGCAACACAACAUUUAUCUCCUAAUGUGAGCUCAAUUAAGUUCCAUGUCGAGGAAAGAGGGACAAUACUAGUUCCUCAAAUUUUCCUAGUUCCUACCAUCAAACAGAAGAAUAGAAAAGUGAAAAAACCCUCAUUCUGAAACUUAUUUAGCAAAAAAUGCUUGUACAGGACUCAAUAACAUGAAUCAAGUUGAUUGGCAUUUGGGAUGGCUACAGCAUAAAGUAGAAUCAUAAGCAUAUAAAAAGGGAUUAUCCAUUUUCUUAUAACAAACUCAUACCUCAGCACCAGAAGAUUU